GAUGAAGAACGCAGCGAAAUGCGAUAAGUAAUGUGAAUUGCAGAAUUCAGUGAAUCAUCGAAUCUUUGAACGCACAUUGCGCCCGCCAGUAUUCUGGCGGGCAUGCCUGUUCGAGCGUCAUUUCAACCAUCAAGCCCUGCUUGCGUUGGGGUCCUGCGGCUGCCCGCAGGCCCUGAAAACCAGUGGCGGGCUCGCUAGUCACACCGAGCGCAGUAAUACAUCUCGCUUUGGGCGUGCGGCGGGUUCUUGCCGUUAAACACCCCCUUUUUACCAAGGUUGACCUCGGAUCAGGUAGGAAUACCCGCUGAACUUAAGCAUAUCAAUAAGCGCAGGA
rnacentral:misc_RNA from 1 species